GCCGACUGAGAGAGUGCGCGGAUACAUCAACAAUAAAAAAUGUGCUUUGGUAAAACAUAUGUCACAAAGGCUUAAAAAUUCUGAUUCAAAUCAGAUAUUUGGUACAGAACAACUGGGAAUGCGAAAGCUGGACAGAUCUCCUAGAGCUCCAGCAAAAAAUACCACCAGAAGCAUUCAAAACGUAACCCUGGAUGGAAUAUAUUUGAUUGACUUGAAACGCACAUGCAGCAUACUGGAUAACUAUCUUAGUGACUGUUCAUAUUCAUCAGAGAGGACACAUUUUUACUUGAAGUUUAGGAAUACAAGAUGGGAAAAAAAUAGCCAAACAAAUGUCAAAGCAUCACUGUGCACACACCUUUUUAAACUGUCAGCAUUAAUGUCACAUGCAUGUUUUUUUAGUAAAAGGAGGAAUUUUAAGAGGAUUUGAGCAGAAGAUUCUGUAUUGUAUCCAGUGAGAUCAGUACAUUGUAUCAAAGAGCAUUUGGAAAAUCAUUAUGCUAUAUUUGAAAUUCAGCUAGUUUCCAGUGGAAACAGUUCAUAAUGUUAAAGAACAGUGGGGAAAAAGCUUUAUAUGAUAAUGUCUUUGAUGUCGUGAUAUUACUGUGUGUAAUUGGUUAAACAAAUAUCUCAUGAAUUGCUGACAAAUAUUGUACAUGUAUCAGUUCUGGUCAUGUUAAGAUGGACUGAAAAAGAUAUUGUUUUUGUUUAAACUGAUUGAUAAAGUCAACAUUUAGACUUGAA